rnacentral:lncRNA from 1 species
AAAAAUCUAGACAUUUCUCCCAAAUUACAAAGUAAGAGAAAACCUGUAUGCUUCUUCAUUGCCGACGUCUGGACCACUGAUCGGCGCGCACCAUUGGCCAUCGUGCGAAGACGACAGCCCACCGAAACCCAACGUCGAAAUAGCAUUUGAAGACGGCAGUCGAAUCGUAGAUGCUAGGCAAAAGUAUAUUGUUAAUUACUGAUUUAUGCAUUUCUUUAUCAAAUUUAAGGUUAAUUUAUGGUUAAGCUGUCUUAGACUUGUUUACAUGAUUUGGGUGUUAUUUCCUCUUUAUUUAGACAUAUUUGAAGUAUGUUGGUUGUGGAGCCUGACUGUUGAUAAAGUUGAAGUAUUUGAUUUCUUGUUCUUCCUAAAUUACUGAGAUUUUUCAUAAAUUUCUGAGUCUGAUUGUUAAGUUCAUUUUUCAUAAAGAGGGGUAUUUUGUUUUAGGCAAAGGUAUUUUUCAUAAAUUUCUGGGCAAAGGUAUUUUGUUCAUUUUUCAAUAAAAGGGUAUUUUUCGUAUAGAGUAUGCUUAAGUGUGCCUACUUUUGUUAAGCUACCAGAAGAAUUAUGCUUAAGUGUGCCUACUUUCGUAUGCUAAGCAUGAAGGCAAUUCUAGUUUCGUUGAGGUUGAAUGCAGCCAUAUCCUCUGUGUGUUCGUAAAUGGCAUAAGAAUAGAAGCCGGAAGAACCACGAAGCAUUAUGAACAUGAAGCAUGUAUCAUAAUAUAAGCACCAAUUCUUCAUUAUCAAACACAACAAUGAAUAUCAAGAUUAUAAACAGCAGCAGUACUGCAAUGAUGCACCUUUUGUCUAUGGGGAAGGGAGCGUGUUAGCCCUCAAAUGAGGGAUCCUAUGUCCUUUUGAAUGAGACUUCUAUUUGUUCCUCAUUUUCCACUAUAACUUUGUUUGUAAUGUGCUGUUAUUUUUAAGUUUGAAUGUGGGAUUUCAAAACUCAAUUGCAUUCAUGUGAGAUUAUUUGUUUCGUCAGCAGUUGUUGAGUAGAAUGAGAGGAAUGAAUUUCGGAGUUUGUCAUGACUAUAAAAGUAACACUCACUACUUCGAAAAAUGCCAAACAAAACGUGGAUGCCCUUCAUAUAAAAGCGGAUUUCGAAAAUGUUUUGAGGUAGAACGGGAUACUAGAAACAAAGGGCGCUUGUUCUUUACGUGUAAUAACGACUGUGGAUAUUUCGAUUGGGUGAAAAAUGAAGAUAUAAGCAGGGAGUCGAGUACCAUUAAUGAAGAGGUGAAGCAUGAGCCCAAUGAGGUAUACAAAGACUUGCCAAGAGUCUUAGAUAGCUGUAAUACCCCGAACUUCACGUUCUACAUUUGGCCAAUAUGAUUCAUGCAUUCCAUGCUAAUUACAUUGUCAUUUGUAUCAAUUUCCUGAUUGCCUUCUCUUAAAACGAUGCAUUUGAUCAUCAAGGCUUUAAAAUCUUUACAUGGUGAUAACCUUCGACUCUUCGAUCUAGGUGGUGAAUUUUAUAUUGAGCUAUGAUAGAAAGUUAGAUUAACUAAAUGUUGGAGAUUGGCUUGGUAAGUAAUGUAAUAUUUGAAAGGCCGAAAAUUUGUAUCAACGAAGGUAAGCUUUCCAUUCGGCUAAUCGAGGUCACCUUAAACCCUAGAUAGGUAAUUCACAUAUUUGGGACAUGAGGGAUGAAGUGACAUUAUCACAACGUAAUAAUAUAUGUCUUAUAUGACAUUAUAAAUGUUGAGGUGCGAAUUGUUGAAAUCGGUUGAGAAUCGGGUAAGAGAUUAAAUGAACAGUUGAGGAAUUAAAUCUAUAAAAUACUUUGGGAUCCUAAUGCAAGUGAAAUAGAUUGUAAGCACAUCAAAAUAAACCAAUGACAUUUGAUUUAUACUUGCAAGGAUAGAUGUAAAAUCGGAAUUUAAUCAAAGGAGACAACACCUACUUAACAUGUGACGACUUGCCACUUUAACCUCUAAUUCCUUCAACCUUAAGCCUCCAACACGUCCUAUAAGUCCUUAGAACUUUACACAAGAUAUUUAUAACUCUUAUAAGUCACAUAUGGCUCCAUGUGGUGGAAGGGAGAAGUCAAAGUUGGCUGCAAGAAGCCACCUCCUACUUGGACAGCUCAUGCUAGGGGACUUUUCACUUUAAUAUAUAAUUGCUUUAACCUUAAGGCAUAAAUUUCGUGUCUAAUCCCCAAGGACUUAAUAUAGGAUGGAUAUAUAUCUUAAAUAUCAUAAAUGGACACAAAAAUAAUGGUAGAAAAGUCAAGUAUUGCAGCCAAGAUGACAGCUCCUGCUUAGCGACUCACCUUGAUUGCUUGAGGUGGCUUCAGCCCAUGAUAUUCUUAAUCCUUAAGUAAUAUGCACGACUUCAACCAUUUAAAGACCACUCAUUUACCUCCUAGAUAAUAUAUUAACUCCCUUAACUCGUCCCUAAGUGAUUCCAAGUGAAAAGAGGGUGAAACAGUCAAAGAGAAAUAGAAACAAGAAGCUGGAAUUUUUGAACAGCUUUGUUACUCCACAGUUUUGAGGUUUGUUUCUAUUAUUUCUUAAGGGGUUUAUGAUUUCUUGAACAUCUGAACUUUUUUGUGAUUAAGUUGGAGUGUUGUUAAUGAUGUUAUGAUGUCUAAAUAGGGGUAAUUAAUUGCAAGAAUUUGAAAGAAAGUAAUCUGGACAGAGAUGAGGAAUUGCUGGAUUGAGUGAUUUAUACCUUGAUUUUGGGAUGAUACUUAGUGUUUAACUUAUAUAUAUCAAUAUGAACGUUUUUAUAUGUAAUUAGGGAGUGUAGAAAUUAUUUUAAUGGCCUAGAAUUCUGUUGGUAUCAUAAUAAUAAAAUGGAAACCGAAAACAGUCAAAGGGAAAAACUGCCUGAUUUUGUGUAGUGGAAAAUGGACUGUUUUUGAAGCUCCAAACACUUCAUUUGUCACAACGUUAUGAUCUGAUUAUCUUCACAUAUAUGUUAUAGGUGUGUGGUAAAAGUUUGGGAGCCGUUAAAUGUAGGUAAGGACAUGAAAAAGAAUUUGAAAAAUGAGUGGACGGUGAUGGAAACCUAGAAAACAGAUUCUGUCCAUUUGGGUAUUUAAUGUGAUUUCAACAUUUAGAUGUCUCCUAAUGAACUCUUGGGCCUAGAAAAUAUAUCCUAAGGAAUACUAGGUUGCCGAAAACAAUUGGAUGACAUUGACGUUCAUAAUUGGACUUGAGAGAUAGCGAGACUUAUGAGAUUAGUUUGUAAUGCCAUCGGUAACUUGAAAUAAUGAUUUUGUCUAAAUUGUUUUGGCGUGAAUGGACGUAUUUUGGGAUUGUGUGUGUUAAGAUUAUUAAAUGGAGGAUUGUAUUUCAUAUUAGAUGAUAAUACAGGCGACUUUUCGACGUUGAGCGAAAAAGGGAAUUGAUACACACUCCAUAGGAGCUUACGCACAUAAAGGCGAAAGGUUAGUGAAAAUUCAUUUGCAACUACGAUGCAAGAACCUAGUAUAUGUGACAUAGUAAUGUUGAAAUAUUUACAUAACUUUGAUAAGAGGCUUAUAUCACAUCAUAUGGUGGUUAUGAUCAUUGAGUAUGAGGUUGCGUAACCUAUUAACACCGAUUUUUAUUAAAUAUGUCAUUUAUGAGUAUUUUCAUAUGCAUGCACGACAUGUAACAUGGUUGAAAAUCCUGCAUGCAAAAUAUGAUUUCAAAGUGAGUUUCAUUAUAAAUGUUUUAUUGACCACUACUAGGGCACCGAGGCAUGUGAGGCAUGCUUAUGUGAUAUGUUUGGCAUUGCGGUGUUACUUCUUGGGUGAUUGCAAAGAUAGAUAGGGGAUGAGCCUUUGGUGAUUACGGGAGGGCGGACCACUCGACUGUGCCCUUGUGAUAUUAUGAUUAUUGGCGCUGCCGGGUGGGAGACUUCUUGGGUGAUCAUAGGGGUAGUCAGGGGAUGGGCCUCUAGUGGUCACGAGAGGAUGGUCCACUUGUCGGUAUCGAUUUCAUACUAGCCAUUUGAUUAUUGAUAUUGAUAUUAUGCAGAGCUCUAUCCGGUGCAUAGUAGGUGGGUUAAGGGCCUAAUGAAAUGAAAGAUUUCAAGUGAAAUGAUUUCUAGUCGACUUUGACGAAUAUUGAAAUAUGAUACUUUUUAUCGUGAUAUUUAAAGUAAAUGGCGUGGUGUCAUAUGUCGUUAUUACUCAUGUUCAGGACAUGCAUGAUUUUGUUUACUAAGCAUUGGCUUAUGUAGUUCUUGUAUUGUAGGUGAACAUGGAACUACAUAGAGAGCAUGGCUAGCUGUGGAGCUCUUACAGGAUUCCAGAGUUCGAUGUACAUGGAUGAGGACCUGUAAGGUUAUUUUGUAGGCUGCCAUCUGUAGGGUUAUAUUUUGGAAUCCUAUAUAGUGUACUUUUGAAAUGGUUUGUAGACAUGUUUAUAAGCUCUGAAUAUAUAUGUUGGAUUAUGGCGAUAUGAUUUUGGGUUUCGAUAUAUUAUAUGAUCGUGUCACAGGUGAUUAGAAGUUAACAAACUCGAAAAAAAAAAUGUGAAAUUCUAUGUCUAGGUUGUGACAAUAGCCUAGCUCGAAUUAUCGAGAAACGAGAUGUCGACAUAACACUGCACGUUACAUUUUGCAAAGGAAAAGGAAUUGUAGAAAGUGAUGCGAAGAGAAAGGACCGAUGUGAAUGGAUGAUGUCAAUUUGUAUUUGCUAUGUGCUUUAUUUUUACUAUAAGAACUUAUUGGUCAUAGUAGUCUUCGAUAUUCAAUGCUUAAUUUUGUCAACGUCGUUCGAGCUUUGGACAUAAGUUUAAUAUUUUGCGAAUUGUUGUAUUGCUUAGUAGGCUUGUUUUAAUAUUUUUGCACAA